AGGAUUGUGGGAAAUGUAGUCUCGCCCAGUUCUGGUAGGCUCAGAACAUACUUACCAGCAGCGUUUCUUCCGAACCUAACUCCAAAGGGAACUCCAAGAGAGAUUCUAGCAUAUGGCUUUGAAAUUGUCUGCCUCCUCAUGGGCUCUGUGACCAAUUAAAGACCGUGGCAAAUUCUUUUCAUCAAGAGAUAGGGUCUAUGCCUUUUCUCCCUGAAUCUGGAUGGACUCUGUGUGACUAUUUUGAGCAAGAGAAUUUGCUGUAAGUGAUGCUGUGCCAGUAUCCUGCCCAGGCCUUACGAUAUUGGCAGCUUCCUUUCCUGUCUUUUGGAACAUUUGCCCUUGCAACCCUGAGCUUCAUGUAAGAAGUCUGACUACUCUGCUGGAGAGGCCUCCUGAAGAGUACUCAAGAAUGCACCAAAAAAAAGUAGGGGAUCGGCUCAGGUGUCAGUUUGGCCACUGGAAUAUGUAGAUCUGAAAUAUUUUUUAAAAAACUGAUGCACUACUAUAAGCCACACACCAGGAUUGAGAUCUGUUUUCCCUUCUACACAAUCUUCCCCCACCUAAGAAGUAAAUAAAAGGUCUAAGUAAAGGACCAGGAGAAACCAAAAUAUCACCUUAGUCUGGAUUUAUUUCUUUCACCUGAAUAUGAGACACUGGUGUUUUGAAAGUUAAUUUAGAAUCAUGCAAUAUGCAAUGAACACACAGAUGUCAACAAGGAGGCCAUCUUGUAAUCUUGAUAGAAGGUGACCCCUGGACAAAGACAGCUUGUGAAAAAAGAAAGAAUAAAAAGAACCAGGAAACUCAUAGAGGAAAAGAACAACUCUGAAGCUACCCCGUCUAAAGUCUCACUACUUUUAGAU